GGUUUCGGCUUAGCGCCUUAGCAGGCGAUUCUUCCACGGCGCUCGAAGCGCGUCGUGGUAUUUCGCGUAUUGUAAUUUCAACACGAGCGGGGUCAAAUCCUUUGCAGACGACUUAGCUGUGCGAAACGGUCCUGUAAGCAGUAGAGUAGCCUUGUUGUUACGAUCUGCUGAGGGUAAGCCGUCCUUCGCCUCGAUUUCCCCAACGACAGACUCUCGCAGUGCGAGGGCGUGGUGGGGGUUCUCUCCUUUCGAAGACGGGUCGAGCAGGCAGUGAGUGGCCUGCCGAUGCGUCUAAGUCGAGGGUGUUCAGGGUAGGCAGGUCAGACUUGGUGGAAUCGGGAACCGGUUCGAGAAUGGUGUUGCGGUCGUGGGAUGAGGUUGAUUUAAGGUUAUGGAGGGGCGGGUCUGCAGGGUAGGCAGGAGUGCCACAGUCGAGCUGAAAGCUUCCCUGGGAUGAAUUCGCCGGUAAAGUGAUGGUAUGGGACGGCUGCAGGGUAGGCAGGAUUGCGAUGGUCGAGCUGGGUGUUGUCCAGGUUGCGGAAGGCGAUCGGGGUCGGCUGCAGGGUAGGCAGAAAUGGCUUGGUGGGAUGCUGGACGGAGAGGCGCCGGUCUCCUGCCCAGGUCCUGUCGUGGGAACCAGUGCGAGACGGUCUGGCGGCUUGGUGGUCGUGAGUCGAUUUUUAAAAUCCGCCAUACAAAUGAAUUUUGCGGAAAAUCAAAGUUGGCCCGCGAAACGGCUCGGGCGAGCGGCCGUCUGGGAGAGCCCCGGAGGACCUGUAAGAGAAACAGCGCCGGGAGGGGCCCAGGGAGAGCUGCAGGGUAGGCAGUCCCAGGUUGGGCGUGGAGGCUCGGUGCUUGUACUUUUGUUGCUAGCUUUUGAUGUUUGCAUUCACCCUGGUCGUCUGGUCGGUCGUCCGGGCUGGUCAGGCAGAAAGUCACCCCUGACACUUAUCGUUCAUGCGCUGAUGCGUUUCCGUAAGGGGGUCACGUGAU
rnacentral:misc_RNA from 1 species